UCUUGGCUCUCGCAUCGAUGAAGAACGCAGCGAAAUGCGAUACGUAAUGUGAAUUGCAGAAUUCAGUGAAUCAUCGAAUCUUUGAAACGCAUCUUGCGCCUCUUGGCAUUCCGANGGGCACACCCGUUUGAGUGUCGUGAUAUCCUCAACCUUUCUUGGUUUUAACCAAAGAAAGGCUUGGACUUUGGGGGUUUUCUUUGCUGGCNUUAUAUUUGAAGCCAGCUCCUCCUAAAUAAAUUAGUGGGGUUCGCUUUGCUAAUCCUUGAUGUGAUAAUUUUUUUUACAUCUUGGGUUUUGCACUGUUAUCCUGCUCCUAAUCAUCUUGCAAAAGAUAAUAUUUAUAAACCUUUGACCUCAAAUCGGGUGAGACUACCCGCUGAACUUAAGCAUAUCAAUAAGCGGAGGAAAAGAAACUAACAAGGAUUCCCCUAGUAACUGCGAGUGAAGCGGGAAAAGCUCAAAUUUAAAAUCUGAUGGUCUUUGGCCAUCCGAGUUGUAAUUUAGAGAAGCGUCUUCCGCGCUGGACUAUGCACAAGUCUCCUGGAAUGGAGCGUCAUAGAGGGUGAGAAUCCCGUCUUUGGCAUAGAUUACCAGGGCUUCUGUGAUGCGCUCUCAAAGAGUCGAGUUGUUUGGGAAUGCAGCUCAAAAUGGGUGGUGAACUCCAUCUAAAGCUAAAUAUUGGCGAGAGACCGAUAGCGAACAAGUACCGUGAGGGAAAGAUGAAAAGCACUUUGGAAAGAGAGUGAAACAGUACGUGAAAUUGUUGAAAGGGAAACGCUUAAAGUCAGUCGCAUCACCUGAGACUCAGCCUUGCCUUGGCUUGGUGUACUUCUCAGCUGAUGGGUCAACAUCAAUUUUGAUCCUUAGAUAAUGGCAAGGGAAAUGUGGCACCUUUUACAGGUGUGUUAUAGUCCUCUGUCGGAUGUGAGGGUUGGGAUUGAGGAACUCAGCAUGCACCUU
rnacentral:rRNA from 1 species